rnacentral:rRNA from 1 species
GACGAACGCUGGCGGCGUGCUUAACACAUGCAAGUCGAACGGUAAGGCCCUUCGGGGUACACGAGUGGCGAACGGGUGAGUAACACGUGGGUGAUCUGCCCUGCACUUCGGGAUAAGCCUGGGAAACUGGGUCUAAUACCGGAUAGGACCACUGCCUGCAUGGGUGGUGGUGGAAAGCUUUUGCGGUGUGGGAUGGGCCCGUGGCCUAUCAGCUUGUUGGUGGGGUGAUGGCCUACCAAGGCGACGACGGGUAGCAGGCCUGAGAGGGUGACCGGUCCGACUGGGACUGAGAUGCGGCCCAGACUCCUACGGGAGGCAGCAGUGGGGAAUAUUGCACAAUGGGCUCAAGCCUGGUGCAGCGACGCCGCGUGAGGGAUGACGGCCUUCGGGUUGUAAACCCCUUUCAGCACCGACGAAGCGCAAGUGACGGUAGGUGCAGAAGAAGGACCGGCCAACUACGUGCCAGCCGCCGCCGUAA